GCCUUUUGCCCUCGUUUUUGUAUCUUCUGUGUUUUUGGAUUACCACUGUCUUGCAAUAAACCAUCCUUUUCAACAUCCUGCAACUGGGUCCUCUCAUUAGCACACUGGGCUAAGCGCUGGUUCCCCACAUCCAGCAUCUCGGGUUCAAUCCCCGAGAAAAGCCUGACAGAACGACCCCAUCAACAUGGACCCAGCAGGUAGUGCCCAACAGGGAUGCAAGAAGUUGGCGCAGACGUUGAAGAAGCUGCUUCAGCGCGAGCAGGUCUUGCUGCAGCUGCAGAAGGAUCUCGACCGCCAGCAGGAGGAUCUAGCUCGUCGCCAGCAACUACUGCACCGUCGGCAACAACUGGACCAACCUCCCCCGUGGUUCCCACUCUACGAUGGCAAUCCUGGUGGCUGCAGAGGUUUUCUCCUCAAAUUCGAUCUGGAGUGCAGCCGCCGGCCCAUCACCCUCUCCUCCGACCGGUCGAGGAUUGCCUACAUGAUAAUCUUGCUUUCAGGCAAGGCCUUGACAUUGGCAACCGCUUUGUGGGAGAAGCAAGGCCCCGAGUGCUCCAGCCUCAGGGCUUUUCAGGCGGUGCUGUUGUGGGUCUACGACCGGGUUAGCAUGGACAGCUUCGAGGCCGCCAUUGCCUCUGCUCUGAAGAGAGAUGCGGCCCGUAACCCUGCUCUCCCAGUGACGGCAGCUGCCGUUCCUGAAGCCGCGCUUCCAGAGGCACCCAGCCUGGAUGCAGCAGUCCUGGACGCUCCCAGUCCGAGUGAACCUGGCAGCCCAGAGGCUGCCAGCUCGGAUGCCCCCAGUCUCAGUGCACCAGGCAGCCCGGAGGCCGCCAGUCCGGAUGCCGAAGCCCCAGAUACCGCCAGCCCGAGUGAGCCAGGCAGUCUUGAGGCCGACAGCCCGAAUGCUGCCAGCCCAAGUGAACCAGGCAGCCCGGAUGCCGACGCCCCAGAUACCGCCAGCCCGAGUGAGCCAGGUAGUCUGGAGGCCCACAGCCCGGAUGACGAAGCCCCAGAUACCUGCAGCCCCGGUGAACCAGGCAGCCCCGAUGCCGCCACUCCCGGUGAACCAGGCAGCUCCGAUGCCUCCAGCCCCGGUGAACCAAGCAGCCCCGAUGCUGCUGCCGACCCGGACUCCGCAGCCGCCCCCGCUGCCGACCCGGACCCCGCAGCCGCCCCCGCUGCCGACCCGGACCCCGCAGCCGCCCCCGCUGUCGACCCGGACGCCGCAGUCUCCGCUGUCGACCCGGACCCCGCAGUCUCCGCUGCCGACCCGGACCCCGCAGCCUCCGCUGCCGACCCGGACGCCACAGUCUCCGCUGUCGACCCGGACCCCGCAGUCUCCGCUGUCGACCCGGACGGCGCAGUCUCCGCUGUCGACCCGGACCCCGCAGUCUCCGCUGCCGACCCGGACCCCGCUGCCGACCCACACCUCGCAGUCUCCGCUCCAGGCGCCCCUGUCCUGAGCGCCCCUGUCCUGAGCGCUCCAGUCCCAGGUGCCCCUGUCUUCCUCCCAGGCAUCUGUGUUCCAGGCGUUCCUGCCCCAGGUGCUCCUGGUCCUGUCCCAGGUGCUCCUGGUCCUGUCCCAGGUGCUCCUGGUCCUGUCCCAGGUGUCCCUAUCUCCAGUGUCCUAGGUGCUGCGACUGCUCCAGCCACUGGUCCUGCAACCGUCGCUGACCCAGCAACCCCAGCCACAGCUGGUGCUGCAACCCCGACCUCAUCCUCUGACUGCAUCUUCGCGAGCCUGGCCAAGGGGAUGAUUCUUGUUCUCGUCGGUUCCAACAAGGCCCCCAGGCGUCUGUCAGACCCUUCGCCUCAUUCUGGUCGCCCACCAGGUCGCCCACCAGACACUCUGCCCCUGCUUGGGCGCCCGCCUGGCCGCCCACCAGACACUCUGCCCCUGCUUGGCCGCCCGCCCGGCCGCCCACCAGAUACUCUGUCCUGGUUCGGUCGUCCACCCGGCCGGCCACCUGACCCUUGGUUCUUGCCCUCCGGCCUUGUCCUUAACCCCCUCCACCCACCCUUUAUGGACUUUUGGAGUUUUCUUUGGGCCGUCUGGAAGCCGACCCUUAGAGGGGGGGUUCUGUCACGACUUCGGGCAACCGUUUGUCACAUUGGCGGCCUCUGGUGGCCAAAGGACAUUAUGAACUAAUUUGUGUCCAUGUGCCUUUGUUGUCUUUGUGUGCCCUCACCUGUUCCCCAUUGUGAUUUGUGUUCUCACCUGUUCCCCAUUGUGUGCUCUCACCUGUCUUGCGUUUUUGUGAUUGUCACUUCCC
ensembl:lncRNA